GCUUACCAAGGGGUAAAAGGGGUAGGGGAAUCAGGGUUCGAUUCCGGAGAGGGAGCCUGAGAAACGGCUACCACAUCCAAGGACGGCAGCAGGCGCGCAAAUUACCCAAUCCAGACACUGGGAGGUGGUGACGAGAAAUACCAGGUCGUUCCCAAAAGGAUUCGACACUGGAAUGAGUUUAAUUUAAAAAUUUCAAUGAGAAACAACUGGAGGGCAAGUCUGGUGCCAGCAGCCGCGGUAAUUCCAGCUCCAGUAGUGUAUCCAAACGUUGCUGCGGUUAAAACGCUCGUAGUUGGACAAGAGAGUAACUUGGUGCGGGCGGGGAGUGUGAUUGCUCUAUGUGUUAGCCUCUUGAGGUUGAUGUUGUUUGUCUUAUGCAAGUAAGCAAGUAGCAUUAGCACUUGAGGAUGUAGCAUAGUAGUGCACUCGUCGACCAUGCUGCCAGGUUCCUUGUAAUGAUUCGUGAGAAUGGUACAUGGUCUUUAUUGUAUUGUGUACUGUGUCUUACGUAGUGUGCCUUGAAUAAAUCAGAGUGCUCAAAGCAAGCUAUCGCUUGAAUGUUAAUAGCAUGGAACGAAUGUGUUGUGAGAGUGUGCUAAUGGGCAUCAUUCGUGAUGUCUGUUAGUACACAGCACCAACCGCGAAGCGGACCAUUGGUUGCCGACUUCGGGUGAGGAUUAAGAGGGGCAUUUGGGGGCAUUAGUAUUUGGCCGCGAGAGGUGAAAUUCUUGGACCGGCCAAGGACUAACAAGUGCGAAAGCAUUUGCCAAGUAUGUUCCCUUUAAUCAAGAACGAAAGUGAGAGGUUCGAAGACGAUCAGAUACCGUCCUAGUUCUCACCGUAAACGAUGCCAACCCGGGAUCAGCUCGGAUGUGAUUAUUUGGAUCCAGGUUGGUCCCCCUGGGAAACCUUGAGUUUUUAGGUUCCGGGGGGAGUAUGGUUGCAAGGCUGAAACUUAAAGGAAUUGACGGAAGGGCACCACCAGGGGUGGAGCCUGCGGCUCAAUUUGACUCAACACGGGAAAACUCACCUGGUCCGGACAUCGAUAGGAUUGACAGACUAAUAGAUCUUUCAUGAUACGCUGGGUGGUGGUGCAUGGCCGUUCUUAGUUCGUGGAGCGAUCUGUCAGGUUUAUUCCGGUAACGAACGAGACCACGUUCUUCAUUUGGGGAACUACAAGACAGGUGCUGUCAGUCGCUGUAUGCAUUGAUGUGUUGAGUGCUCUAUCUAGAGUGCUGAAUGCGCGAUUUGUAUGGUGAUUUGUAGUAUCUGAACUUGUGGUGUGCGUACAGCAAUGUGCGUCCCUAUGGAGAGACAGCCGGAUUGUAAGGCGGAGGAAGCGUGGCAAUAACAGGUCUGUGAUGCCCUUCGAUGUUCAGGGCCGCACGCGCGCUACAAUGAUAACGACAACGAGAGUCUGGACUGAAAAGUUCUGGGUAAUCUUUUGAAUCGUUAUCGUGAUGGGGAUUGAGCAUUGUAAUUGUUGCUCAUGAAAUAGGAAUCCCUUGUAUACGUGUCUCACUUAGGACACGUAGAAUGCGUCUCUGCCCUUUGUACACACCGCCCGUCGCUACUACCGAGUGAAUGGUGUCAUGAUGUCUUGGGACUGGACGAUGUUGGCAGUUAAAGCUGCGGACGACGCUAGGAGCAAGCCAAAA
rnacentral:rRNA from 1 species